UGAGGGCUUGAAUGCAGAUCUUUCAGACCCUACUGCCUGCGUGCUUAAGCCCCACAUUAAAUGUUCAGGAGUUUGUUUCUUCCAGAACAACUUCUGCUAAAAAAGAUGAAAUCAAUGGAAACAGUAUUAGUAUCACUAUUGCUAAUCAGCCAUGGAAUAACUUCCAGGGAAUUUCCAAAAAGAAGUCCACAGAGCCGGGCAGUGCCUAAGGGGUCAAGGUUUAGGACAGAGCCUCACUAGGGAUGAGCCCCAGCCCUCAGACACCCCACAGCCUAAAACAGGAGGACCAUCUGCCCUCCCUUUCCCUCUGGCUAAAUGUGAAGAGUGUCCUUCCGCCUUGUUCCCUCCUGGAGGGCAAUUCCUGCCUGGGGAUUGCACUUGUAUGUGCUUUUAGGUUUACAAGUGGCAAAAACCACCUCAAAGUAGAGUCAUUAAAAGAAAAAAAGAGAGACAUGAUCUCUUUGUUUCGGUAACCAAAUAAACCUUGGGUUGUCUGGCUUCAGGUACAAACGGAUCCAGGGACUCAUACAAUAUCAGAAAACUGUCCCUCUCUACCUUCAUCUAAUUUUCUCCGUAGUUCAUUUUCUUGGUUGCCCCUGGAAGCUCCAGUCACUAUCCCCAGAGCUUAGCAAUACGAGUGGAAGGAGAAUUUCUUUUUUUCCAAUGGUCCCCAUGAAAGUGUUAGGAUGGAGUUUUUCUGGCUUGGUUUGAAUAUCCAUCUCUAAUUCAAUUAUCCUCACCAGGGAGAUAAAUAUCAGAUUUUUCAAGCCUGGGUCACAUGUUUGCCCUUGGAGCAGUGUGGAGAUAAGAGGCAGUCUCCUUGGAUUACAUGGGAGAUAGGUGGUUUUCCAGAAGAAAAUGGUCUUUUAAUUUUUAAAAGAGUGAGGGGAAUGGGUUCUAGGAGAUGCCAACAACAGGUGUCCUCUAUAAGCUCAUAUUAUAAAGUCACCUUCUAGAUGCUAAGAUUAUAGGCACAGAUCCAUCUAGUCCCUAAUGUGCUUACAUAUUCACUCUUAGUGGAAGGUUCUCAGUACCUCUGAGGCCUAUGAGAAAGUCCAUAAAUGUCUUUGCUAGCAUAGGUACUGGACAUUUUUCCCUUCUGGAAAAAAAGAGCACACCAAUAUUCCUUGCGAUACAGUGCAUCCCUCAUUUUCCGUCACUUCGGUUCAGGUGGGGCUAACCCACCGAGGCUUCAAGCAUGAAGAUGUGACCUAAGUCCACUGUAUACCUCUGGCCUCAAGAUCAGUUCUGAGAUGAUUAUGGGAUUUGAUUCUUACCAGAGUCAUCGUGUCCUGGGUGUUUGGAAAAAAAAAAAAAAAAGCCUACAGGAGGGAAAAAAAAGCUCUUUUUUUUUCUUUUUUCUUUUUUUUUUUACUAGGGUUGGUAAGAGGGUAGGCUGUUGGCUAGGAGAUUGCUAGAGGCCGUCUUGUCACAAGGAUAGGGCUGGUCUGAAAAUGAUGCCAGAUAGAGGAAACCAGAACUGGGAGAUCGAGUUUGAGCCCCUGGACCCGGACAUACACUAUUAGAGACAAUCAAUCACAUUAUUUUUUUUUCUUAAAUUAAGCCCAUUUGAAGUGGAUUUCUUUGUCACUUACAACUAAAAACGCCUGACUGCUACCAUCUAGAUUCAAACACCAGUCUUGUCACUUUUAUAAACCUUGUCAUUUUGGGUAAAUCGACGAACCCCUCUGAUUCUUGGCUGCUUUCUCCGUGGAGUGGAGAUCACCUCCGUGGCAGGGUUUCCAGGAUAGUAACUGAGGUUAUAGCUGAUUAGUACCGAGCACAAUUCUGGCAACGCCAUGGGCACUUCAUACAGGUAUGUUUUACUGGCAUUGGGAGAGCAGGAAAACGAAAGCCAAAGGAAGCAGGAUCAAAACCAAACUUGGAUGACUGUUGGAGCCAAGAAAACAUUAGAUGUAAACGAGCUGUCUGGACACAGAUAACAGGGAGGGUAGGGAACAACUGGAGAGUAAGUGCCCGCUGUGACAACAUUCAAGCUUGAAAAUUCAAAAUCUCUCAAACAAAUUGAGGACGAGGGCUGCCAGUUCACAAACCUUGAAAAGCAACUGAAACAUGAAUGUUCCAGAGGAGACCCCAGCUGUGAGCCAGGAAGUGCAGUCGUUCGGUUCGACAUGUUCCCACGGAUAAAAGCUCUAGGGAAGGAAGCUCCAUGAUGCCUCCAUCAACAGCCUGCCUCUCCCAAAGCAAGAGAAUCAAAGGGCCUUUGAGUCCAGGCUUUCCUUAAUUUCAAAACCGAACAUGACCACUCUUUAUUUUUAACCUUCCCUUCCCCUAGUCUAUGCCUUCAAGCAGCUUUUCUGGGGAGAGAGUGUUUGCGCCCACACUGGCAAAUCUGAGUCCCUGGCCACGCGCCGGCUGCGACGGGGCUGUUGCCAUGACCACCCACCCCAGCACCUGGAACCCAGCCUUUAGAGGGGCUCACUUGAGAGCCGCAUGAACGGUAAGAAGCGUGGAAUUCAAGUCCCCAAGGGACCUGGCUGAGGGCAAAGGGACCCUCACGCUUGUCCCCUGCUCUGGAAGGAGUGUGCCUCUGGCUGGUUGGAGUGCCUGUGACAGUAGAGAUAGUGAAUCUCCCGUGUGGCCGAUGCUCGUUGUGCUUCUGCUGUUAUCACAUCCGCUUCCUGGAGAGGCCAGCAAACUCACCUAGAGUCUCCAGGCUAAUGGUGGCAGAGCCAGAAUUUGAACCUCGGUGGGUACAAACCUAGUGCUCCAACAUAAUAACCAUAAUGCCUACCAGGAGAGAGAGCUGAUGUGAAUGUUUGGAGCCACUUGACAACUGUAUUUAUUUCUGCUGAUGAUUAAAGAAUCAAGGCGCCUGGGUGGCUUAGUGGGUUGAGUGACCAACUCUUGAUUUUGGUUCAGGUCAUGCUUCCAGAGUCAUGGGAUCAAGCUCCACAUCAGGCUCUGCACUAAGUGUGGAGCCUGCUUCAGAUUCUCUCUCUCCCACUACCCCUCUCCAUUGCUCUUGUACACAUGCUCUCUCUCUCUCUCUCUCUAAAAUAAAAAUUAAAAAAGAAAAAGAAUCAUCUGAUCCAUACCCCAGUUUUCUCUCAUUAUGGCUAGUUUGGUGGUCUUAAACAUGUCCACAAAUUAUUUGACUCAUCACCCACCCAAAGGUAGAGACUAACCCCCUCCCUUUGAGUUUGGGCUGCUUCUCACAAAUAGAAUGUGGCAGAAGUAAUGCCUUGUGAUUCCCAAGGCUAGGUUAGAAAAAGCUACAGAGUGUCCACCUGGCUUCAUGUCCUGGGAUGCCCGCUCUUGGGCCCCACCUGCCAUGCUGUCAGGAAGCCCGGCCACGCAAAGGCCAUGUGUGGGUGCUCCCUCAAAGAAUCCUGCUGAGGUCCCAGCCCACGGCCAGCAUCGACACGUGAGUGGGGAAGCCCCUGGGAUGAAUCGAGCCCCAGCCACCAACUAACUGCAACCAGGAAAGGACUCUGAACGGCACCACACAGCUGGUCCCAGUCUUUCAGGUUCAGAACUGUACUCAAGGAGUUAAGUUGUCCAGAGGCGCACAGCUAGGAUGCCGCAAGACCAGGUUGUCAUGGAUUCCCGGUCCAACGUGUAUGAAUUGAGCUCCUACCAUGUGCCCCACACUGUGCCGGACUCUGGAGACACUGCGGAGAAGACUUCGUGCAUGCGGACUCCAGGGCGGCAGGCGGGUGGUAAGGAAACAGACAAGCAAGCAAGUCAAUAAAUAACAGCAUUGCUGUGUGAGCCUUGCUGGGAAGAGCAGUGAGGCUGGUAGUAGCCAAAGAGCGGCCUUCAAUCCCCUCUGAGGAAGUGGCCUUUGUGGGAUGUGCAUCCCGGGCAGCAGAAACACCCAGAGGGGAGCCAGGGUUGGGCGAAGGACCUGGCACAUUCAAGAAGCAAAAUAAAGACACCAGCCUCGAAGUGAACGAAAGAAAACAGGGUGCGAGAUGAAGACAAAGAGGGAGGUGAGGCCAGACUUCACACGGCCCUGUUGACCAAGGGUUACUCAGUUGGGAGGAUGCAAGCCAGGAGUUCUUGGUACUUGAGAAGACAGCCCAUCUAAGAAUGGACCUGUCUAGAGGGAGACAGGGCUGAGAGGAAGAUGCAGGUCCCAGGUCCAGCCACCCACGGGCAUAUCUACUUUGCAGUCACGUGCACUGAUUGAUUGCUUUCGUUUGUCUUUUAUGCUUGGAGCUGGGUUUCUGUCAACUGACUAGAAACUUCAUGACCAAUAGACUACUUGUCUAAUUUCACUUCUUGUCAUCUGUAUAAAUUGGGAUUUAUGUUCAUCUGCUAAACUCGAAAAGGGAUGAAAUAAAUUGAAUCUAUUUUUGUCAUGUAAUAAGAAUGUUGUAGAUAAGCAGUCCUGGCCUGGAAGAAGAACUCCUUUUGAAAGCAGAGACCGAGGUACCCGCAGCAGUCAAGGUCCAUAGACACCAUCUAAUCCAACUGGGUAGGAAUAACAAAAAUUCCCCUUUCCUGAGAAUGAAAGAAGUUUCCUAGUGAGCAGGGAGAACUCCUUUAUUUAGCGCUUUCCACCACCCUUCUCUCUGCCCUCUGGGAGAUGCUCCUCUGUCCAUCUCUCUUCCUGGACUCGUCUGAGGUGGAAUGGGGAAUGACCAGCUCCCAACUUGGCUCAAGGAUCUUUUUGGGAUUUACUUGUGGUUUUUAAAAAAAUUUUUUUUAACGUUUAUUUAUUUUUGAGA